CGAACGGGUGAGUAAUGCGUGACCAACCUGCCCCAUGCUCCAGAAUAGCUCUUGGAAACGGGUGGUAAUGCUGGAUGCUCCAACUUGACGCAUGUCUUGUUGGAAAGUGUUUAGUGGCAUGGGAUGGGGUCGCGUCCUAUCAGCUUGUAGGCGGGGUAAUGGCCCACCUAGGCUUCGACGGGUAGCCGGCCUGAGAGGGCGGACGGCCACAUUGGUACUGAGAUACGGCCCAGACUCCUACGGGAGGCAGCAGUC
rnacentral:rRNA from 1 species